UGGGGAAUAUUGCACAAUGGGCGGAAGCCUGAUGCAGCGACGCCGCGUGGGGGAUGAAGGCCUUCGGGUUGUAAACUCCUUUCGACAGGGACGAAGCUUUUGUGACGGUACCUGUAUAAGAAGCACCGGCUAACUACGUGCCAGCAGCCGCGGUAAUACGUAGGGUGCGAGCGUUGUCCGGAAUUACUGGGCGUAAAGAGCUCGUAGGUGGUUUGUCGCGUAGUCUGUGAAAUUCCGGGGCUUAACUCCGGGCGUGCAGGCGAUACGGGCUGACUUGAGUGCUGUAGGGGAGACUGGAAUUCCUGGUGUAGCGGUGAAAUGCGCAGAUAUCAGGAGGAACACCGAUGGCGAAGGCAGGUCUCUGGGCAGUAACUGACGCUGAGGAGCGAAAGCAUGGGUAGCGAACAGG
rnacentral:rRNA from 1 species